GCCAGGGGAAGACGCGCCAGAGGGGGGCGCCAGGGGAAGAUGCGCCAGAGGGGGGCGCCAGGGGAAGACGCGCCAGAGGGGGGCGCCAGGGGAAGACGCGCCAGAGGGGGGCGCCAGGGGAAGACGCGCCAGAGGGGGGCGCCAGGGGAAGACGCGCCAGAGGGGGGCGCCAGGGGAAGACGCGCCAGAGGGAGCAGUAUAUAUGGUGUGCCAACAGAUGCGAACGUGACCACCAUCCUGAAAAUAUAAAAAAAAUUAAUACUGGAGCACUCCCAAAAAGUUCAGUCAUGAUUUCCUUUCAGUUUGACUUUUAACCCUUGAGAAAAAUCCAAGUAAGAGGACUGAAAUGACGCAUGGGUAGAUAAAGGACACAGUCAUUGAACUUUUUGGGAGUGCUGCAGUAUUCAUUUUUAGAUCCAUACACAGAACAAUAUGAAAUUGAUAGAUUCAAAGAUUGGUAGAACAAAUAUAAAUACAAAAAAAACACAUCCCCUACAUGAGGUCACCUUUAAAUGCAUAAAGCCACAUCUAAGGAGGUUUACUGCGGUCUAACUGGACCACAGAAGACAUCAGUGACAUGGCGCCCGCAGUCUUUAGGUCACAUCAGUCAUUAACGACACGCGGAGCUCCUCUGGAAAGCGUUAAGAACAUAAUACUAGAAGAGCACAUGAAGGGUUUGAGGGAUGAACCACCGAGGGCAUUAAAUGGAGGCAGGCAGGUGGAGGGGAGCCUAUUACCGCUGUUAUCUGGCUGUAGUGACAGCUUCUUGACCCAUUUCAUGCAGCACACGCCAUAUCACAGAGCAGAGUCGGCUUACAGCAGUAACUAGGUCAUAUCAUUACUGCCGGGGGAGAAGAUUUUUUUUUUUCCCCUUAAUUUUAUCUGUAGGUCUUAUAUAAAGUAAGAAGUGGCAAAAAAAGAAAAAAAGAUAAAAAAGUUAUGUGUUAAGUGGUGAGAAGGGUAAAAAAUGCCUAUUCUGAAGCCCUCCUGCUGCGGCCAUGUGAGAGCACAUACACUUCACAGAGCAGAGUCAUCCUUUACACCAUCUGUUGCUUUCUACAGGGACCCGACUACCACUCCUGUUGUCUCUUCAAAAAUAUGCUCAUUAAUAGUGUCAGAACAGGUUCUCCUUUGAUGAUUGUGGUAGAAUACUGGUCGUUAUCUGACAUAUAGCUUCUUUUGAGCUUCUCAUAUGACUGUAUCAUUAGAUAUGUUCCCCUUGGUAAGUGGUAUGGUGAAGACAUGGUGGAAAUCCACCUUCCUCCAAGGACUCCAAUUUUGCUCUGCUAACCCAGGCAUCUCCGAGGUCACCAGGCUUUCUGCCACCAGCAACUCUGAGGUCACCAGACUCUCAUCCACAAGAACCACCAAGGUCACCAGGCUCUCAUCCACAAGCACCUCCUAGGUCACCAAGCUCUCAUCCACAAGCACCUCCUAGGUCACCAGGCUCUCAUUAGCCAUUACCUUCUAGGUCACCAGGCUCUCAUCCACUAUCACCUCCGAGGUAACCGGGGCUUUCAUCGAGAUGAUCGGGGCUCACAUCCACUAUCACGCCUGAGAUCAACCAGGCUCUCAUCCACUAUCACUUCUGAGGUCACGGGGCCUUCAUCCACUAUCACCUCUGACGUCACUGGACUCUCAGCCACUAGCACCUCCAAAGGCUCCCCAAGCACCACCAAGGCAAUCAGGGCCUCCCUAAGGACCUUCAAGGCAGUCGGGGCUCCUAAGCACCUUCAAGGCAGUCGGCGGGUCCUAGGCACCUUCAAGGGCAGUCGGGGCUCCCAAGCACCUCAAGGGCAGUCGGGGCUCCUAAGCACCUCCAAGGCACACGGGGCUCCUAAGCACCUCCAAGACAGUCAGGGCU